UUACUGGGCUUAAGGAGUUCGUAGGUGGUUGAAAAAGUUAGUGGUGAAAUCCCAGAGCUUAACUCUGGAACUGCCAUUAAAACUUUUCAGCUAGAGUAUGAUAGAGGAAAGCAGAAUUUCUAGUGUAGAGGUGAAAUUCGUAGAUAUUAGAAAGAAUACCAAUUGCGAAGGCAGCUUUCUGGAUCAUUACUGACACUGAGGAACGAAAGCAUGGGUAGCGAAGAGGAUUAGAUACCCUCGUAGUCCAUGCCGUAAACGAUGUGUGUUAGACGUUGGAAAUUUAUUUUCAGUGUCGCAGCGAAAGCGAUAAACACACCGCCUGGGGAGUACGACCGCAAGGUUAAAACUCAAAUGAAUUGACGGGGACCCGCACAAGUAGUGGAGCAUGUGGUUUAAUUCGAAGAUACGCGCAGAACCUUACCAACACUUGACAUGUUCGUCGCGACUCUAAGAGAUUAGAGUUUUCGGUUCGGCCGGACGAAACACAGGUGCUGCAUGGCUGUCGUCAGCUCGUGUCGUGAGAUGUUGGGUUAAGUCCCGCAACGAGCGCAACCCUCACUUUUAGUUGCCAUCAUUUAGUUGGGCACUCUGAAAGAACUGCCAGUGAUAAGCUGGAGGAAGGUGGGGAUGACGUCAAGUCCUCAUGGCCCUUACGUGUUGGGCUACACACGUGCUACAAUGGUAUCUACAACAGGAAGCAAGACUGCGAGGUCAAGCAAAUCCUUAAAAGAUACCUCAGUUCGGAUUGCACUCUGCAACUCGAGUGCAUGAAGCUGGAAUUACUAGUAAUCGUGGAUCAGCGUGCCACGGUGAAUGCGUUCCCGGGUCUUGUACACACCGCCCGUCACACCAUGGGAGUUGGUUCUACCUUAAGGCAAGGUUUCAAACCCUUGACCACGGUAUAGUCAGCGACUGGGGUGAAGUCGUA
rnacentral:rRNA from 1 species